AACUGGGAUUAGAUACCCCACUAUGCUUAGCCUUAAACAUAGACAGUUGCUUAUUCCCACUGUCCGCCAGGGUACUACGAGCAUUAGCUUGAAACCCAAAGGACUUGGCGGUGCUUUAGACCCACCUAGAGGAGCCUGUUCUA
rnacentral:rRNA from 1 species